rnacentral:rRNA from 1 species
GACGAACGCUGGCGGCGUGCUUAACACAUGCAAGUCGAGCGGUAAGGCCCUUUCGGGGGUACGACGAGCGGCGAACGGGUGAGUAACACGUGGGUGACCUGCCCUCAGCUCUGGGAUAAGCCUGGGAAACCGGGUCUAAUACUGGAUAUGACUCCAUGACGCAUGUUGUGGGGUGGAAAGCCUUGUGCGGCUGAGGAUGGGCCCGCGGCCUAUCAGCUUGUUGGUGGGGUGANGGCCUACCAAGGCGACGACGGGUAGCCGGCCUGAGAGGGCGACCGGCCACACUGGGACUGAGACACGGCCCAGACUCCUACGGGAGGCAGCAGUGGGGAAGUCUUGCGCAAUGGGCGAAAGCCUGACGCAGCGACGCCGCGUGAGGGAUGACGGCCUC